GUUGGGCAUGGUGUGGGUGCUUGUAAUCCCGGCUGCGGAGGGAAGAUUGUUUGAAUUCAGGAGUUCUGGGCUGUAUCGCGCUAUGCCAGUUGGGUGUCUUCACCCAGUGUGGCAUUAGUAUGGUGACUUCCCGGGACCUGGAGAUCAUCAGGCUGCCUAAGCAGGGGUGAAACAACCCAGGUCAGAAACAAAGCAGGUCAAAACUCCUGUGCUGAUCAGUAGUGGGCUUGCACCCGUGAAUAGCCACUGCACUCCAGCCUGGGCAACAUAGCGAUACCUGUCUCU
rnacentral:SRP_RNA from 1 species